AUUCUUGAAAUUCGAUUCAAUUUGCUAAUAUGCUGUUACAGAUAUAUAAACACUUUUUAAAUACUUGGAUGGAUAAAUAUUUAUAUUUUUAUCAAUACUUUUUUCACAUUAUUAAUUGGAUCAGUCUGUAAUUUUAUGUAAAUUGAUAGCAAAAUGAUUAUAGCUGACAAAAUCAGGAAGUGUGUUGUUAACUUCCUGACUUCUUAUAUUUCAGAGAACGAAGAGUUGAACCAUUUAAC
rnacentral:lncRNA from 1 species